rnacentral:lncRNA from 1 species
CUUAUACAUAAGCUGAAAGAUCUUUUCCAAAGAUCAUGUCCAUUAAGGCAGUAAAGACAUUUUUUGCAGGAUAUGCCAUAAUGAGCUCCAGGCAUUUAAUGAGAGACAAGUGCUACUGUUGAAAGCAUAACCUUCUGAUCUGAUCUGAAACUGAAGUGGGCAUGCUUGCUCUGCAAAACCAGGCCCCAGUUGUGUCCGCCAGUUGACAAGGAGGCUCAUGUUUUUAGAUGCUCCGUUGCAGUCAAACAUCAAACCUUCUGGGAGAGGUUUUUGUUUUGUGAUUAGGUAAGGAUUUUACAUGUAAGGAGCAAGCAGCCAGCCCCACGCUGCAGGACCAAUAGCUUCCAAAGACAGAAAAGUAAAAUACAGCAUCAAGUAACAAACAAACAAGGGAGCUUGAUGGCGUGCCCCCAAAGCUUCUGGAGGAACCUGAGGCAUUCAGAGGCAAGGAGCUCUCAGCUUCCACCUCUCAGAAUGGUGGCUUCAGGUGAGGGUAAUCACCUGGUGAGGAAAUAUCACCAGCAUGAAAAAAGUGUCAUGUUGAUCAACCUACUUUCUUUUAGCCUUCGGAUGUGUCUCCCUCAUUCAAGGAUUUGUGUGAUGUCCUCUCAGCUCUUACUUUGAUAUGUGGAAAGGCUUGGGUACAGUCCUGGCCCUCCUCCCCUCUCUGCAGCCCUCACUAACAGGGGCUGCUGACCUGCCAACAGGAUGCUGCCUCACGUCCUGAAUCUUACCACCAACUCCUGCCUUGAUUGCUGCACCAGCUUCCUCUUGCAAUCCCAAGGGUCAGAGGAUUGGAGGGGCAGGACAGGAACAGAGCGUGGUCUCCCAGGCAGAAAUCUUUUGGAAUGCCUGAGCCUCAGCUUGUUGGCCAUGGGUCUGCCUUUCUGGUUAGGAGGAGGGGACCUCCCAUCUCCCUCCAAAUGUCCCUGUCUUAAACCCAUGCAGUACAAAACAAGCCAGUUCAUUGUGUUCUUGGAUAUAAAUAUUGAUUCUGGGUGAUGAUAACAUUCUGUUCAUAAAAGAAUGUAACAUAUUUCUCCCACACCAUAUUAGACUGAUGUGUUGUUUGGCCAAGGGAAGUACAGAUUGCUGGCUUCUGCGGGGAAAUGUGGACAUUUAAAUGCAUGCAGCUCUUGGAAGUCUAGGGAGCAGUCUCGGAAUAGCAACCAGGGCCUUUGGCUGGCUCCAGCUCGGUGCUCCUCCAUCCAGUUUCUCCCUUCCCCCAUUUCCAUGUGCGUGUUGCUUUGGCAUUUCUAAUCACUUGUAAUUUAGGAAGAUGCUUUCUUGGAAUUAUAUCUUUUAUUUGUUGAGGAAAUGUGGGGCAUUUGCUUUCUUUAGGAGGCCCCAGAAGAUCAGAACCAAACAUUUUAGUU